AGGACGAACGCUGGCGGCGUGCCUAACACAUGCAAGUCGAACGGGGAUUUGUUUCGGCAGAAUCCUAGUGGCGAACGGGUGAGUAACGCGUAGGCAACCUGCCCUCCGGCCGGGGACAACACUCCGAAAGGGGUGCUAAUACCGGAUACGAAGUCUGUGCCGCAUGGUACGGAUUUGAAAGAUGGCCUCUAUUUAUAAGCUAUCGCCGGGGGAUGGGCCUGCGUCCGAUUAGCUGGUUGGUGGGGUAACGGCCUACCAAGGCGACGAUCGGUAGCCGGUCUGAGAGGAUGAACGGCCACAUUGGGACUGAGACACGGCCCAGACUCCUACGGGAGGCAGCAGUGGGGAAUCUUCCGCAAUGGGCGCAAGCCUGACGGAGCAACGCCGCGUGAGUGAGGAAGUUCUUCGGAACGUAAAGCUCUGUUGUUCCUGACGAACCUCCCCUUUAUCAACAACGGAGGGGACUGACGGUGGGGAACGAGGAAGCCACGGCUAACUACGUGCCAGCCGCGGC
rnacentral:rRNA from 1 species